CCCCUCUCAGGCUUGCGCCCGCAGAGUUUCCAGUCCUCUACCAGUCUCGACUACAGGAGGGAGAGUCAAGCAGAGGCCUGUCCAUUCCAUUCCUAGCUUGGCUAGUGGCUAGUGAGUGGAAGGCAAUCUGCUACAAGU
rnacentral:snoRNA from 1 species